CAGAAUCAACGCUGGCGGCGUGCCUAACACAUGCAAGUCGAACGAGAAAGUGGAGCAAUCCAUGAGUAAAGUGGCGACCGGGUGAGUAACACGUGACUAACCUACCCUCGAGUGGGGAAUAACUCCGGGAAACCGGGGCUAAUACCGCAUAACAUCGCAAGAUCAAAGCAGCAAUGCGCUUGAGGAGGGGGUCGCGGCUGAUUAGCUAGUUGCGGGUAACGGCCACCAAGGCGAAGAUCGGUAUCCGGCCUGAGAGGGCGCACGGACACACUGGAACUGAAACACGGUCCAGACUCCUACGGGAGGCAGCAGUGGGGAAUUUUGCGCAAUGGGGGGAAAAACCCCUGACGCAGCAACGCCGCGUGGAGGAUGAAGCCCUUUGGGGCGUAAACUCCUUUCGACCCGGACGAUAAUGACGGUACGGGUGGAAGAAGCACCGGCUAACUCUGUGCCAGCCGCAGC
rnacentral:rRNA from 1 species